rnacentral:rRNA from 1 species
CCUACGGGUGGCAGCAGUGGGGAAUAUUGGACAAUGGGGGCAACCCUGAUCCAGCCAUGCCGCGUGUGUGAAGAAGGCCCUCGGGUUGUAAAGCACUUUCAGGGAGGAAGAACGCCUGGUGGUUAAUACCCAUCGGGAAAGACAUCACUCACAGAAGAAGCACCGGCUAACUCCGUGCCAGCAGCCGCGGUAAUACGGAGGGUGCGAGCGUUAAUCGGAAUUACUGGGCGUAAAGCGCGCGUAGGUGGCUUGAUAAGCCGGUUGUGAAAGCCCCGGGCUCAACCUGGGAACGGCAUCCGGAACUGUCAAGCUAGAGUGCAGGAGAGGAAGGUAGAAUUCCCGGUGUAGCGGUGAAAUGCGUAGAGAUCGGGAGGAAUACCAGUGGCGAAGGCGGCCUUCUGGACUGACACUGACACUGAGGUGCGAAAGCGUGGGUAGCAAACAGGAUUAGAUACCCUAGUAGUC